CCUACGGGAGGCAGCAGUGGGGAAUUUUGGACAAUGGGCGCAAGCCUGAUCCAGCAAUGCCGCGUGAGUGAAGAAGGCCUUCGGGUUGUAAAGCUCUUUUGUCAGGGAAGAAACGGUGGGGGCUAAUAUCCUUCCACUAAUGACGGUACCUGAAGAAUAAGCACCGGCUAACUACGUGCCAGCAGCCGCGGUAAUACGUAGGGUGCAAGCGUUAAUCGGAAUUACUGGGCGUAAAGCGUGCGCAGGCGGUUUUGUAAGUCUGUCGUGAAAGCCCC
rnacentral:rRNA from 1 species